rfam:Salmo salar isolate Sally breed double haploid chromosome ssa09, whole genome shotgun sequence.
UGUGGUAAAGUGACCGAUCCCGGAGAAGCUGGCGGGAGUCCCAGGGAGAGUUCUCUUUUCUUUGUGAAGGGCAGGGCACCCUGGAAUGGGUUUGCCCCAAGAGAGGGGCCCAAGCCCUGGAAAGCGUUGCGUUUCGGUGGCGUCCGGAGAGCUCUCCCUGGCCCUUGAAAAUCCGGGGGAGAGAGU